rnacentral:rRNA from 1 species
GAACGCGAAGAACCUUACCAGCGUUUGACAUCUUAGGAAUGAGACAGAGAUGUUUCAGUGCCUUCGGGAACCUAAAGACAGGUGCUGCAUGGCUGUCGUCAGCUCGUGUCGUGAGAUGUUGGGUUAAGUCCCGCAACGAGCGCAACCCUUGUCAUUAGUUGCCAUCAUUUAGUUGGGCACUCUAAUGAGACUGCCGGUGACAAGCCGGAGGAAGGUGGGGAUGACGUCAAGUCCUCAUGGCCCUUAUGACCAGGGCUUCACACGUCAUACAAUGGUCGGUACAGAGGGUAGCCAAGCCGCGAGGUGGAGCCAAUCUCACAAAACCGAUCGUAGUCCGGAUUGCACUCUGCAACUCGAGUGCAUGAAGUCGGAAUCGCUAGUAAUCGCAGGUCAGCAUACUGCGGUGAAUACGUUCCCGGGUCUUGUACACACC